CGGUAUGUUAAACAGUGCCCUCCACAAAAUGAUCAUUUGGCUUUGAAUUCUCUCUGUUUUCUUGACAAAUUAGCUUUUAGGAUUGGAUAUUGAGAACUGUUCAAUAGGGAAUUGUUCAUCACUCAUUUCAAAGCCAAUAAAUACUCAUUUAAACUAAUGUUUCACACCUCCUUUGCACCAUCACCAUGUGAACCAUCAGAAGGCAAUGGAUGGAAUUUGCAUGACGUGCUCUGAGUUGUGCCAUUCUUAUUGGGAGGCACUUCAGGGUUGGUUUCUUUUUCAAGCAAUGAGUAUCAGAUCUUGGAAGUGUCUCUUGGAAGUGAUGGUGUCACCAGUGUGUGUCGUGGUGACCUCUCUGUUGACCUCAUCUCCCCAUCCACCACAUGCUCACAGCUCUUGGGGACCCAUUGAAAUGAUGCCUCCAUCUCAGGCCUCAAGAGCCAGACCCUAAUGACAGUGCAGUCAUGGCGACAGGACCUGGUACAUGGAAACUGAAGACUCGUCAGGUCCCUUGAAGAAGUUCAUGUCUAUGGGGAAAGGGCACCACAUCCUCUUUCCCUUUCCAAACAGCAGGGUGAGGCCUCUGUCCAGGAGCUCAUCCAGAUGCAAUUUGAGGUGGAGAACUGGCAGAGGGUCACGGCCGAUGACGUACAAGCCCCUCUCCCAAUAAAGUUGUGAACCCCUCAGAUUGCGCACCCGUUUCAAUUUCCCAUGAAACACAUUUACAUUGAUCAAAGUGUGAUGUUGAAACACAGCGGGAGGCGGCCAGCUCUCGGUACAUGAGGAAUGAGUGUUAAAUGAGCGCGGGGGGCAGCAUGUGCUGCAGCGUUACCAUAGAGACAACUGUGUGGUCCCAGGGUCAGGUCAGAUCAUCGCAGGUAGUGUCAGUCUGUUGAGAGAGAAAAAAAGAGACAGACAGAGAGAGAGAGGGAGAGAGAGAUCCUUGAUGCACCACAUGCCCUACAUGGAUUGAGCCAUGCCUAUCAGGGUUUUUAUUUGAAAAUGCAAAACUCUACUGGUACUGGAUGUCACUGAACCACAGAACACUAAAUGGCACAUGGAUAUUAACUUCUUGUUUGCGAUUCAGCAUUCCUCUGACUAAACUCGGAAAUGAUUGUGUAUACCCCGCCUCCAUUCUGUGAUGUGCAUACAGGUCCACUGCCAGUA